GCUUACGGCCACACCACCCUGAACACGCCCGAUCUCGUCCGAUCUCGGAAGCUAAGCAGGGUCGGGCCUGGUUAGUACUUGAUGAGAGACCGCCUGGAAUACCAGGUGCUGUAAGUU
rnacentral:rRNA from 1 species